rfam:Triticum aestivum genome assembly, contig: Triticum_aestivum_CS42_TGACv1_scaffold_408620_5BL
UUUCUACUCCCUCCUCCGAAAAAACUUGUCCCUCAAAUGGUUGUAUUUAGCAUCAAGUUAGUGCUAGAUACAUUCAUUUGAGGGACAAGCUUGGGACAAGCUUUUUCGGACAGAGGGAGUAGAAU